GCUUGUCUCAAAGAUUAAGCCAUGCAUGUCUAAGUAUAAGCAAUUUAUACAGUGAAACUGCGAAUGGCUCAUUAAAUCAGUUAUCGUUUAUUUGAUAGUACCUUUACUACUUGGAUAACCGUGGUAAUUCUAGAGCUAAUACAUGCUAAAAAUCCCGACUGUUUGGAAGGGAUGUAUUUAUUAGAUAAAAAAUCAAUGCUCUUUGAGCUCUUUGAUGAUUCAUAAUAACUUUUCGAAUCGCAUGGCCUUGUGCUGGCGAUGGUUCAUUCAAAUUUCUGCCCUAUCAACUUUCGAUGGUAGGAUAGUGGCCUACCAUGGUUUCAACGGGUAACGGGGAAUAAGGGUUCGAUUCCGGAGAGGGAGCCUGAGAAACGGCUACCACAUCCAAGGAAGGCAGCAGG
rnacentral:rRNA from 1 species